GGAAACAGAGGAGAGGAGGUGUUAUGCGUCGGGGAGAAGUAGAGAAGGAAAGGAAGAAGAAGAGAAAGGAAAAGGGAAGAAGAGAGAAGAGGAGAAGGGGAGGCAGCUGCGGUAGUGGCAACUGCAGCUGGAAGAGAAGGAGAGGAAACAGAGCAGGGGAGGAAGAAGAGGCUACGGUUGUGGUGGCUGCGGCCAUGGCUACGACUCCAACUGCGGUAGUUGCAGCUGGGAAAGAAAAGAAAGGAAAGGGGGA
rnacentral:lncRNA from 1 species